rnacentral:tRNA from 1 species
GGUGCUGUCGUCUAACGGUAGGAUUCUAAAUGCUUACAAAAUUAAUUAAUUAUAUUCACUUGUCGCGUGAGAGAUCCGGGUUCGACUCCCGGCAGCACCG